rnacentral:rRNA from 1 species
ACUGCUCAGUAACACGUGGAUAACCUGCCCUUGGGUCCGGCAUAACCCCGGGAAACUGGGGAUAAUUCCGGAUAACGCAUAUGUGCUGGAAUGCUCUAUGCGUCAAAUGGAUUCGUCUGCCCAAGGAUGGGUCUGCGGCCUAUCAGGUAGUAGUGGGUGUAAUGUACCUACUAGCCGACAACGGGUACGGGUUGUGAGAGCAAGAGCCCGGAGAUGGAUUCUGAGACAUGAAUCCAGGCCCUACGGGGCGCAGCAGGCGCGAAAACUUUACAAUGCGGGAAACCGUGAUAAGGGGACACCGAGUGUCAGCAUCAUAUGCUGGCUGUCCAGGUGUGUAAAAUACACCUGUUAGCAAGGGCCGGGCAAGACCGGUGCCAGCCGCCGCGGUAACACCGGCGGCCCGAGUGGUGAUCGUGAUUAUUGGGUCUAAAGGGUCCGUAGCCGGUUUGGUCAGUCCUCCGGGAAAUCUGAUAGCUCAACUAUUAGGCUAUCGGGGGAUACUACCAGACUUGGAACCGGGAGAGGUAAGAGGUACUACAGGGGUAGGAGUGAAAUCUUGUAAUCCCUGUGGGACCACCUGUGGCGAAGGCGUCUUACCAGAACGGGUUCGACGGUGAGGGACGAAAGCUGGGGGCACGAACCGGAUUAGAUACCCGGGUAGUCCCAGCCGUAAACGAUGCUCGCUAGGUGUCAGGCAUGGCGCGACCGUGUCUGGUGCCGCAGGGAAGCCGUGAAGCGAGCCACCUGGGAAGUACGGCCGCAAGGCUGAAACUUAAAGGAAUUGGCGGGGGAGCAC